CAGAAAUCGCUCCCGAGUGCCCCGCCGAUCGAAUCCCCCCCGGAAACCGCAGCCUGUGCGCGCCGGGUUCCGGGCGGGGGCUCCCUGGGCGCCCGGGCUUCCGGCGCUGAGCUCGCUGCCGCCCCAGCGCGGUAUGGAGGCGAAGGAGGCAUCCACUCCAGCUACCGGCGGCGGGUGCCUGGUGUCAGCGGAGGAGAUCGGAAAGUGGAUGGAGGAGGCCAUGCAAAUGGCCAAAGAAGCCCUAGAAAAUACUGAAGUUCCUGUUGGCUGCCUUAUGGUCUACAACAAUGAAGUUGUGGGGAAAGGAAGGAAUGAAGUUAACCAAACCAAAAAUGCUACUCGACAUGCAGAAAUGGUGGCCAUCGACCAGGCCCUAGCCUGGUGCCGGGGGAGCGGCCGGAGCCCCGCGGCGGUGUUCGAGCGCACGGUGCUGUACGUCACGGUGGAGCCGUGCAUCAUGUGCGCGGCUGCCCUCCGCCUCAUGAAAAUCCCGCUGGUUGUGUAUGGCUGUCAGAAUGAACGUUUUGGCGGUUGUGGCUCUGUUCUAGAUAUUGCCUCUGCUGAUUUACCAAAUACUGGGAGACCGUUUCAGGUACCAAGAUAGCACAAAGUGAACACUUAAAAAAUCCUCUAUAUGCAUUCCGGGGUAUCGGGCUGAGGAAGCAGUGGAAAUGUUAAAGGACUUCUACAAACAAGAAAAUCCAAACGCACCAAAAUCAAAGGUUCGGAAAAAGGAGUGUCAGAGAUCCUGAGUUUGUUCUAACGAAGGACUAAUGCCCCUGGAUGAAAUUCUUGCCUGAGUGCUGGUGACAUCAUUGAAUCAGAUGUUAUAUAUCGUCCUUAACCUGUGGGAAAAAUGGUCUUUCAUCAUUUCCUCUGUUAAAGGAACAAAUGAACACUUUGACAAAGUCUGACAAUUGCAAUAAACUAUUAAUUAGUUUUUCCACAAGCUGGAAAGUUACAGAUUGAGGUUUUAGAAAUGAGUAAGCAGGAAAAUGCACUUCUUGCCAAAAGCAUCACCAGUUCAGGACAGUGCUGUCAGAGCAGGUACCUGCAGGUGCAGUUACCUGGCGUGUCUGCACCGGGCUGUGCUGCUGCGGACCCCUGCUCCACGCCUGGCGUUGCAGAAUUGCAUUCUUCAUUCUUUGCAGCCACCAUGUUCUCUCAGAGUGUUGGGGGCCUGUGACUUUCUUGGAAAUUGUCUACGUUGCAUACCUGUAGACCAUGAUUAUAUGGUCUUUUGAACAGAUUUUUGCCUUUAUAAAGCAUUUAGAAAAAAUGCAUAUUCUAAAACAAGUGCUUAAGUGUCAUUUUAAAUUGCAACAUAUUGCUAAAAUAAAACCGUAUUUGUGCCUUUUUUGAAGAUGGAUAAUGUUAAAAAUAGAAGAUAAAAGCAUAAAGGGGACAAUUCCUUCUUUGUUAUUGAGCAACUGUAUUGGGAAUCAGUGAACAAAACAAAGCAUCCUGCCCUCAUGGAGCUUAUGUUCUAGCAGGGGAGACAGAUACUAAGCGGAAUAGAUUAUACAGCAUGUGACAGGGUGGUCCGGAUUAGGCAAAACGAAUGGGCAUGCCAUUGGUGGUGGGAAUGCUGGUUGCACAAUUAAAUAGAAUGGUUACUUUGAUCUGAAAUCGAAUACAGUUCUUUCUUUUUAUAAAAAUCCAGAUUUAGAAUUUAAAGUCUGACAUUGUUCAGUGUGAACGCAGCCCUGGGAAGGAUAUCCACAGCUGGCACUCCCAGAUAUUCGCGCUGACCAGUGCGGUGCUGCAGAGCUGGGCUGCAGUGCUCCGCGUCUGCCCAGAAGGGGGCCUCCGCGUUCUACCGGAAGCCCCGCUCCAGGCCCUGGACAGCAGCUCCUCAGUUGCAUUUCUUCAGUGGAUUCAUUUCCUUGAUACAAAGCAUCUGUAUUGUUGGUUCUGCCAUUUGAGCGAUGUCUCUGACUUGUUUGUUUUGAAUUACAUUACAGGCUGGAAAGUAAUUGUGAAAGUCUUUUUAUGUUGCUGAGAGUAGCAGCUAAUCACAGUGACAUGCUGCAGAGGAUUUAUAAUUGCUCUAUGUUGUAAGUGUGCGUUUUUAACUGCAUUUGAGUUUUAUGGAGAAGAAUAAGCAUGAUUUUAAAUCUAUGUUACAUGUAACUUCUCUUCAAUUUCCCCUUCUUUUAAGAUUAUCCUCUCGUUAAA